rnacentral:rRNA from 1 species
GACGAACGCUGGCGGCGUGCUUAACACAUGCAAGUCGAACGGAAAGGCCCCUUUGGGGGUCCUCGAGUGGCGAACGGGUGAGUAACACGUGCGUAACCUGCCCUUGACUUCGGGAUAACUUCAGGAAACUGGGGCUAAUACCGGAUAGGAAUCCUUGCUGCAUGGUGGGGGUUGGAAAGCUUCGGCGGUUUUGGAUGGACUCGCGGCUUAUCAGCUUGUUGGUGGGGUAGUGGCUUACCAAGGCGUUGACGGGUAGCCGGCCUGAGAGGGCGACCGGCCACAUUGGGACUGAGAUACGGCCCCGACUCCUACGGGUGGCAGCAGUGGGGAAUAUUGCACAAUGGGCGGAAGCCUGAUGCAGCAACGCCGCGUGCGGGAUGACGGCCUUCGGGUUGUAAACCGCUUUCAGCAGGGGCGAAGCUUGUGGUGACGGUACCUGCAGAAGAAGCACCGGCUAACUACGUG